GGGGAUAUACUGGAUAGGCAAUUUUUCCUGUAAUGGUUUUUUGUUUAAAUGUUUUUUUCGCCUAAGGAUGGGUCUGCGGCAGAUUAGGUAGUUGGUUAGGUAAUGGCUUACCAAGCCUUUGAUCUGUACGGGUUGUGAGAGCAAGAGCCCGGAGAUGGAACCUGAGACAAGGUUCCAGGCCCUACGGGGCGCAGCAGGCGCGAAACCUCCGCAAUGUGAGAAAUCGCGACGGGGGGAUCCCAAGUGCCAUUCUUAACGGGAUGGCUUUUCAUUAGUGUAAAAAGCUUUUGGAAUAAGAGCUGGGCAAGACCGGUGCCAGCCGCCGCGGUAACACCGGCAGCUCUAGUGGUAGCAGUUUUUAUUGGGCCUAAAGCGUCCGUAGCCGGUUUAUUAAGUCUCUGGUGAAAUUCUGCAGCUUAACUGUGGGAAUUGCUGGAGAUACUAUUAGACUUGAGAUCGGGAGAGGUUAGAGGUACUCCCAGGGUAGAGGUGAAAUUCUGUAAUCCUGGGAGGACCACCUGUGGCGAAGGCGUCUAACUGGAACGAUUCUGACGGUGAGGGACGAAAGCUAGGGGCGCGAACCGGAUUAGAUACCCGGGUAGUCCUAGCUGUAAACGAUGCGGACUUGGUGUUGGAAUGGCUUUGAGCUGCUUCAGUGCCGAAGGGAAGCUGUUAAGUCCGCCGCCUGGGAAGUACGGUCGCAAGACUGAAACUUAAAGGGAAUUGGCGGGGGAGCACCACAACGCGUUGNAGCCUGCGGUUUUAAUUGGGAUUCAACGNCC
rnacentral:rRNA from 1 species